CUCUCUCUCUCUCUCUCUCUCUCUCUAAUUCUCUAAAUUCUAAAAUGCCGCUUCAGGCCUUCUCUCUCUCUCUCUCUCUCAUUCUCUAAAUUCUAAGUUUCAACUCUCUCUCUCUCUUCAAUCUUCUGACCCCAAACUCUCUGAAACGCUUCUCAAACUCAUCCUUUAAACCCAAACGCUAGAUUGGAAAGAUGGAAGAAGCAAAGAUUGAAGAGAGAUUUUUCAGUUACUUUAUUGAUUAAAUUAAUUCUGUAAUUUAUCACAAAUUUUGAUGUUUAUUUCUAUUUAUAUUGUAAUUUUUGUAAUUGAUUUAAAACUGUAUUAAUAAUUGUUGUUAUUACUCUUAUUGUGAUUAAUAAUAAUUACUUUUUCCUUUAA